rnacentral:rRNA from 1 species
GAUGAACGCUGGCGGCGUGCCUAAUACAUGCAAGUCGAGCGAACGGACGAGAAGCUUGCUUCUCUGAUGUUAGCGGCGGACGGGUGAGUAACACGUGGAUAACCUACCUAUAAGACUGGGAUAACUUCGGGAAACCGUAGCUAAUACCGGAUAAUAUUUUGAACCGCAUGGUUCAAAAGUGGAAGACGGUCUUGCUGUCACUUAUAGAUGGAUCCGCGCUGCAUUAGCUAGUCGGUAAGGUAACGGCUUACCAAGGCAACGAUGCAUAGCCGACCUGAGAGGGUGAUCGGCCACACUGGAACUGAGACACGGUCCAGACUCCUACGGGAGGCAGCAGUAGGGAAUCUUCCGCAAUGGGCGAAAGCCUGACGGAGCAACGCCGCGUGAGUGAUGAAGGUCUUCGGAUCGUAAAACUCUGUUAUUAGGGAAGAACAUAUGUGUAAGUAACUGUGCACAUCUUGACGGUACCUAAUCAGAAAGCCACGGCUAACUACGUG